rnacentral:rRNA from 1 species
GUCCACGCCCUAAACGAUGUCAACUAGGUGUUGGGAGGGUAAAACCUUUUAGUACCGUAGCUAACGCGAGAAGUUGACCGCCUGGGGAGUACGGCCGCAAGGUUAAACUCAAAUGAAUUGACGGGGCCCGCACAAGCGGUGGAGCAUGUGGUUUAAUUCGAUGCAACGCGAAGAACCUUACCUGGCCUUGACAUGUCUGGAAUCCUGCAGAGAUGCGGGAGUGCCUUCGGGAAUCAGAACACAGGUGCUGCAUGGCUGUCGU